UACGUAGGUGGCAAGCGUUGUUCGGAUUCAUUGGGCGUAAAGGGUGCGUAGGUGGCAGGGUAAGUCGGAUGUGAAAUCCCGGGGCUCAACCUCGGAACUGCAUUCGAUACUGCUUUGCUUGAGUACUGGAGAGGAGAUUGGAAUUUACGGUGUAGCAGUGAAAUGCGUAGAUAUCGUAAGGAAGACCAGUGGCGAAGGCGGAUCUCUGGACAGUUACUGACACUGAGGCACGAAGGCCAGGGGAGCAAACGGG
rnacentral:rRNA from 1 species